rnacentral:rRNA from 1 species
UACAGAGGUCUCAAGCGUUGUUCGGAUUCAUUGGGCGUAAAGGGUGCGUAGGCGGCGGGGUAAGUCUGAUGUGAAAUCCCGGGGCUCAACCCCGGAACUGCAUUUGAUACUGCGGUGCUUGAGGACUGGAGAGGAGACUGGAAUUUACGGUGUAGCAGUGAAAUGCGUAGAGAUCGUAAGGAAGACCAGUGGCGAAGGCGGGUCUCUGGACAGUUCCUGACACUGAGGCACGAAGGCCAGGGGAGCAAACGGG